GUAAAGUAGUGAAGAGGUAGAGUUACAGGUAUACAGUGAAUAGUGAAUAUUUGAGUAAUGUUCGAAUCCAGAUUACGGCAAAAGAAAAUCAAUCAAAAAAGACGAAUUUCAAGAACUUUGAAAAUAUCCUCCAAAAACAUUAUAAUGGUGAAACUGGCACUCAUCAGGACUCAUCAGAUAAGAGCACCUAAAUAAUUGCUUCUUCACAGAGCAUUUUUCGGUUUGUUUAACACUUUUAAGUUACUACAUGAUUCUUUAUGGAGUUUGGAUCACUUCACUAUUCAUUUCCACUGUUAAAAAACACAUUUCUCACUUUUCUCCCCUCUUUUAGGAAGAUUUACACCAGCACACGGAGCUGUAUGAGAAAGAUUUUGUUUUAUUUGUUGAAUUAGCCGUUCUCCUCUCCUGGUUCUCGCCGUUUGAUCAGUGGAAUGAAUCAGAUCAGUCGGUUAUUUACAUGAAUUUCUCAGUUUUUCUCUUCAGUCCCGAAGUGUCCUAAAAAGCCGAGGUGGUGAGGCGGUAGAAUGAGCAGUCUUUAGUAUAGAAAACAAUCAUGUCAUGAGAAGAGCGAGCGAGCAGGCGGACGGCGGGCACGGCGCCCUCUCCUGGACGGGUAUAGAAAAGGGGGAGGAGUCUCUGAUGGAGCUUGCAGCAGAUCUUCUUGUUCGGACUCUCGGUGGAGGACCAGGCACUACUCUCUUCCACACAGAAUAACAUUAAAAUAACAAAUAAAGAGCUUUAAUGGAGCACAUAUGAGCAGGUAGAGCUCUGUUGGAUGGAGAGAUAGAGAUGGAUAGAAAGAAAGAGAGAGAGAGAGAGAGAGAGAGAGAGAUUACCUGCACAACUGCCAGCUUCCCAUAUAAUCCCUGCUGAAGAAACCAGCAUGGCCAGUUUAGCUCUCUUGACCAGUAUAGGGUAUUAAUAUGGUGCUACUACCACUUUAUAUGAUGGUCAGUAGAGUAAAACUGUGUUUCAGGUGGUUGCUGUGGUGUUGCUGCUAUGUGGUUGCUAUGAUAUCCCAGGUCAUUACUAUGGAGCUGCUACUUUAUGUAGUCAGUAGGGUAAACCUGUUUGUGUUUCAGGUGGUUGCUGUGGUGUUGCUAAGUGGUAUCUAUGCUAUCCAAGGUCAUUACUAUGGUGCUACCACUGUAUGUGCUUAAUAGGAUAAGGUAAACUGUGUAUGUUAGGUGGUUGCUGUGUUGUUGCUAGGUGGUUCAUAUGAUAUCCCAGGUCAUUACUAUGACAUUGUUACUGUAUGUGCUCAGUAGGAUAAGGUAAACUGUGCAUGUUAGGUGGUUGCUGUGGUGUUGCUAUGAGGAAGCUAUGAUAUGCCAGGUCAUUACUAUGGUGCUGCUACUUUAUGUAGUCAGUAAGGUAAAACUGUUUGUGUUUCAGGUGGUUGCUGUGGUGUUGCUCAGUGGUUACUGUGGGGUUGCAAGGUGGUUGCUGUGGUGUUGCUACUAUACAUGGUCAGUAGGGUAAAUUGUUUUAUGGUCAUGACUAUUUGAUGUUUGUUAGGUGGUUACUCUGGUGUUUCAGGUAGUUAUGUGUUUUGCUGCUAAGUAAAUGCUAUAGUAUCCCAGGUGUUUACUAUGCUGCUGUUACAGUGGCGUUUUAGGUGGUUGCUGUGGUGUUGCUUAGGUAUGCUCCCAUGUUAUUGCUACUGUAUAUGGUCAAUAAGAUGAAACUGCAUUUGCUAGGUGGUCACUCUGACGUUUUUUCUGAUUGUUGCCAUGGUAUUGUAUACUGUAGGUGGUUCAGA
rnacentral:lncRNA from 1 species